AGAGAUUGAACUGAAGAGUUUGAUCCUGGCUCAGAUUGAACGCUGGCGGCAUGCCUUACACAUGCAAGUCGAACGGCAGCACGGGAGCUUGCUCCUGGUGGCGAGUGGCGAACGGGUGAGUAAUAUAUCGGAACGUGCCCUAGAGUGGGGGAUAACUAGUCGAAAGAUUAGCUAAUACCGCAUACGAUCUACGGAUGAAAGUGGGGGAUCGCAAGACCUCAUGCUCAUGGAGCGGCCGAUAUCUGAUUAGCUAGUUGGUGGGGUAAAAGCUCACCAAGGCGACGAUCAGUAGCUGGUCUGAGAGGACGACCAGCCACACUGGAACUGAGACACGGUCCAGACUCCUACGGGAGGCAGCAGUGGGGAAUUUUGGACAAUGGGCGCAAGCCUGAUCCAGCAAUGCCGCGUGAGUGAAGAAGGCCUUCGGGUUGUAAAGCUCUUUUGUCAGGGAAGAAACGGUCUUGGUUAAUACCUGGGGCUAAUGACGGUACCUGAAGAAUAAGCACCGGCUAACUACGUGCCAGCAGCCGCGGUAAUACGUAGGGUGCAAGCGUUAAUCGGAAUUACUGGGCGUAAAGCGUGCGCAGGCGGUUAUACAAGACAGAUGUGAAAUCCCCGGGCUCAACCUGGGAAUUGCAUUUGUGACUGUAUGGCUAGAGUGUGUCAGAGGGGGGUAGAAUUCCACGUGUAGCAGUGAAAUGCGUAGAUAUGUGGAGGAAUACCGAUGGCGAAGGCAGCCCCCUGGGAUAACACUGACGCUCAUGCACGAAAGCGUGGGGAGCAAACAGGAUUAGAUACCCUGGUAGUCCACGCCCUAAACGAUGUCUACUAGUUGUCGGGUCUUAAUUGACUUGGUAACGCAGCUAACGCGUGAAGUAGACCGCCUGGGGAGUACGGUCGCAAGAUUAAAACUCAAAGGAAUUGACGGGGACCCGCACAAGCGGUGGAUGAUGUGGAUUAAUUCGAUGCAACGCGAAAAACCUUACCUACCCUUGACAUGUACGGAAUCCUGAAGAGAUUUAGGAGUGCUCGAAAGAGAACCGUAACACAGGUGCUGCAUGGCUGUCGUCAGCUCGUGUCGUGAGAUGUUGGGUUAAGUCCCGCAACGAGCGCAACCCUUGUCAUUAGUUGCUACGAAAGGGCACUCUAAUGAGACUGCCGGUGACAAACCGGAGGAAGGUGGGGAUGACGUCAAGUCCUCAUGGCCCUUAUGGGUAGGGCUUCACACGUCAUACAAUGGUACAUACAGAGGGCCGCCAACCCGCGAGGGGGAGCUAAUCCCAGAAAGUGUAUCGUAGUCCGGAUUGGAGUCUGCAACUCGACUCCAUGAAGUUGGAAUCGCUAGUAAUCGCGGAUCAGCAUGUCGCGGUGAAUACGUUCCCGGGUCUUGUACACACCGCCCGUCACACCAUGGGAGCGGGUUCUGCCAGAAGUAGUUAGCCUAACCGCAAGGAGGGCGAUUACCACGGCAGGGUUCGUGACUGGGGUGAAGUCGUAACAAGGUAGCCGUAUCGGAAGGUGCGGCUGGAUCACCUCCUUUCU
rnacentral:rRNA from 1 species